GACGAACGCUGGCGGCGUGCUUAACACAUGCAAGUCGAACGGAAAGGCCCUGCGUUUGUGGGGUUCUCGAGUGGCGAACGGGGGAGUAACACGUGAGUAACCUGCCCUUGACUGUGGGAUAACUUCAGGAAACUGGGGCUAAUACCGGAUAGGAUCUCCUGCUGCAUGUGGGUGGUUGGAGAGUGUCGGCGGUUGUGUAUGUACUCGGGGGGUAUGGGCUGGUUUGGAGGGUAGUGGCUUACCAAGGCUUCGACGGAUACCCGGCCUGGUAGGCGGAUCGGCCGCACUGGAGCGGAGACAGGGACCAGGGGCCUGCGAGAGGCAGCAGAAGGGAACGGGCGGCAACAGGCGAGAGCCUGACGGAGCAACGCGGCGUGUGUUAUGAAGGCCUUCGGAUCGUGAAGCUCUGUUACGAGUUAAGAACAGAUGUGUACGGAGCCGUGCAGAGCGUGACGGUACCGAAUCAGAAAGCCCCGGCUAACUACGUG
rnacentral:rRNA from 1 species